AACAUUAAUUGCAAAAUGAAGUUAAACGCCAAUUUUUCAAAAACAAAAAGUUUGUUACACUCCCCACAUCUAUAAAAUAUAAGUAAACAACUUAAUGCGAGUUAUUAGUUUAUUCAGAAGCUAAGUGAUAAAUCUAGGUGAAGAUUGUAGCAAUUGUUAAUGAUGAACAAGGCACACUUCCAUCUUUUCUUCAUUUUGCUUAUUCUCCUUGCUUCUGAGAUGGUGGUACAAACCGAGGAAUCAGAUUGUGAUAAUUUUGAUUGUAAUUUCAAUUGUAUUGCUGUUGGAUGGAAUUCUGGAUCGUGCGAGGGAUUUCCCAUUAAAAGUUGCUUAUGCUUGUCAGUGAGAAUUCAAUAGCUCCGCUCAUUAUGAGUGCUUGAGUAGAGAACCUUUUCAUUUUUCAAAAGAAAUUGAGGUCUCAAUUACUAUAAUUUUGACGUAUAAAUGUUUGAUUAUGUCACAAUUAUUGAAAUGGGUGCAUAAAUUUUUUUGUUUUCACUCCAAAAGUAUAGGAAUGAAGAUCUCAAUGUUUUUUUGGGGGAUGAAGAUUAUAUUAAUGAAAAUGAAAAUAAUGAUAUUGAAAUGAAAAGAAUUGUUUCAACGUGAGAUACUUGUAUUGCUUGCUUUUGUGUGAUACACUAUUAGUACAAUUUAUAAGCAUAAGCCAACGGUACUAUUAUAUAUAAAUAAGGGAAUAUCAUAAGUGUGGCUUUAUGACUAUUAUUUGGCUAAGUAUAAAACCAACUGUACUAAUAUAUAUACCCUUAUAAUCAUUUGUGUGUCAUGUUUUAUUAUGUUUAAUCUAAAAUUUCUUUAAGUGGCAUCAGUUUAUGUCUAGUUGCUUAGGCAUUUUAGAAUGGUUUGAGCCAGCUAGCGGCAAUUAUAAUUAUAAUGAUAUUUUUGUUCUGCAUUCGUGAUGUAUUUUCAAUUAAAAAAAAUAGUGAAAUUGCACCAUUUUUGUUUUA